rnacentral:rRNA from 1 species
UACAGAGGAGCCAAGCGUUGUCCGGAUUGACUGGGCGUAAAGCGCACGCAGGCGGUCGCGCGCGUGGGGUGUGAAAUCUGGCCGCUUAACGGCCAGGCGCCAUCCCAUACGGCACGACUGGAGUGAUGCAGAGGUCGAUGGAAUUGCCGGUGUAGUGGUGAAAUGCGUAGAUAUCGGGAGGAACACCUGUGGCGAAGGCGGCCGACUGGGCCGACCCUGACGCUGAGGCGCGAAGGCGUGGGGAGCGAACGGG